rnacentral:rRNA from 1 species
AGAGUUUGAUUAUGGCUCAGAACGAACGCUUGCUGCAUGCUUUAUACAUGCAAGUCGAACGGAGGCCCUAGCUUGCUAGGUGUCCUUAGUGGCGCACGGGUGAGUAACACGUGGGAACAUACCUUAUAGUACGGAAUAACUGCGGGAAACUGUAGCUAAUACCGUAUACUCCAGUAAUGGGAAAGAUUUAUCGCUAUAAGAUUGGCCCGCGCAAGAUUAGCUUGUUGGUGAGGUAAAAGCUCACCAAGGCUUCGAUCUUUAGCUGGUUUGAGAGGACGAUCAGCCACACUGGGACUGAGACACGGCCCAGACUCCUACGGGAGGCAGCAGUAGGGAAUAUUGGACAAUGGGGGCAACCCUGAUCCAGCAAUGCAGCGUGAGUGACGAAGGCCUUAGGGUUGUAAAACUCUUUCAUCGGUGAGGAUAAUGACAGUAGCCGAAGAAGAAGGACCGGCUAAUUCCGUGCCAGCAGCCGCGGUAAUACGGAAGGUCCUAGCGUUGUUCGGAAUUACUGGGCGUAAAGCGCAUGUAGGCGGAACAGAAAGUUAGAAGUGAAAUCCCUGGGCUCAACCUAGGAAUUGCUUUUAAAACUUCUGUUCUGGAAUUCAGGAGAGGAAAAUGGAAUUUCCAGUGUAGAGGUGAAAUUCGUAGAUAUUGGAAGGAACACCAGUGGCGAAGGCGAUUUUCUGGACUGAUAUUGACGCUGAGAUGCGAAGGCAUGGGUAGCAAACGGGAUUAGAUACCCCGGUAGUCCAUGCAGUAAACGAUGGGUGCUAGUCGUCGGACUUUUGUUCGGUGUCGUAGCUAACGCGUUAAGCACCCCGCCUGGGGAGUACGGUCGCAAGAUUAAAACUCAAAUAAAUUGACGGGGACCCGCACAAGCAGUGGAG